CAUGAAGCUGGAUUCGCUAGUAAUCGCGCAUCAGCCACGGCGCGGUGAAUACGUUCCCGGGCCUUGUACACACCGCCCGUCAAGCCAUGGAAGCCGGGAGUGCCUGAAGUACGCGACCGCAAGGAGCGUCCUAAGGUGAAACCGGUGACUGGGGCUAAGUCGUAACAAGGUAGC
rnacentral:rRNA from 1 species